rnacentral:rRNA from 1 species
UACGGAGGGUGCGAGCGUUGUCCGGAAUCAUUGGGCGUAAAGGGCGCGUAGGUGGCCCGGUCAGUUCGUGGUGAAAGCGCGGGGAUCAACCCUGCGUCGGCCAUGAAUACUGCCGCGGCUGGAGCACUGUAGAGGCAGGCGGAAUUCCGGGUGUAGCGGUGGAAUGCGUAGAGAUCCGGAAGAACACCGGUGGCGAAGGCGGCCUGCUGGGCAGUUGCUGACACUGAGGCGCGACAGCGUGGGGAGCAAACAGG